AGAGACCCAUGAGGAGUCUCUUGCCACUGGGACUGACUCUGCCUGGGACCCAGAGACCAGAAAUGGUGAAUGUCUUUGGCAGAGCUGCUGGAAGAAAUGUGAGGCCUGUGACUCAUCAUGAAAUCCCAAGAAGGUUUCACUACUUUACCAACUGAGAAGUUCUCAUAGGUGGCUUUAGAGAAGAGCGUUUCUUCUUGUGCAAAUAGAAUCCUUCUACUGAGCAGUCUUCUAAAGCAGUCAUCUCAAAAA
rnacentral:lncRNA from 1 species